UAGGGAAUCUUCGGCAAUGGGGGGAACCCUGACCGAGCAACGCCGCGUGAGUGAAGAAGGUUUUCGGAUCGUAAAGCUCUGUUGUUAAGGAAGAACGAGUGUGAGAAUGGAAAGUUCAUACUGUGACGGUACUUAACCAGAAAGGGACGGCUAACUACGUGCCAGCAGCCGCGGUAAUACGUAGGUCCCGAGCGUUGUCCGGAUUUAUUGGGCGUAAAGCGAGCGGAGGCGGUUAGAUAAGUCUGAAGUUAAAGGCAGUGGCUCAACCAUUGUAGGCUUUGGAAACUGUUUAACUUGAGUGAAGGAGGGGAGAGUGGAAUUCCAUGUGUAGCGGUGAAAUGCGUAGAUAUAUGGAGGAACACCGGUGGCGAAAGCGGCUCUCUGGUCUGUAACUGACGCUGAGGCUCGAAAGCGUGGGGAGCGAACAGG
rnacentral:rRNA from 1 species